UUGACCACAUCUACGUUUCAAAUCCGGACUUCUGCCAUCAAUCGGGCGUGUUACAGACCUACCACAGUUACCACAAUCCUGUGUACUGUGUAUUGCGUUUUUUUCCAUAGGUGAAUUGCCCGCUAUACCAGGUCACUGGGGCCACUGAAUCAGCAUUAACGACAACAGUGGGGCAACACCAGCCUUAGUUCCCCAGUGGCUUUUGUAUCAGUGGUGUCUUGGCCUUAAGCCAUACGGAACUGGGGUUCCAUUUAACCUCCUCUAUCGACGACAGUGACGUUGCGCUUAUAUUGUGUUGUCUUUGGUAAUAUGAAGGUGUUGUGUCACUGAGUUAUCUAGAGUACAGCAGCAGGAAGGACGAAGGAGUAGUGUGGCAGCUCCAGGCAGGACAGGAAGUGAAGGCAGCAGUAUACAGGACGCAGUCAGGAUUAGUGUAAUAACUCCAGGGAAGACACAGACAGUGAGAGCAACAGCAGCAUUGCAGGAAGAUUUUGGAGACCAAAGCAGUCCUCUGCAACACUGGAUAUGAGUGUGCAAUAUACCAUCUAAAGGAACCGGCGAGUCAGAAUGUCUGAGAAGAUCAAGUGUGCUUCUCCACUGAUGAUGAUGAGCUGGAUACCAGCUUAUGGGCUAAUUUCUUUCAAGGACGGGACCAGAUGUGUUUGGAGUUGAAGGCAAUGCUGAAGACCAAAGAAGCAACGGAAGAAGCACAUUAAAGCACUGAGU